rnacentral:tRNA from 1 species
CUAAAUGAGUAGUGGGCUCUACAAUCUUCUAAUUAACAGUUAGAUGCCUCUGUUUUGGCUUUCAUUUA